CCUACGGGGGGCAGCAGUGAGGAAUAUUGGUCAAUGGGCGCGAGCCUGAACCAGCCAAGUAGCGUGAAGGAUGACUGCCCUACGGGUUGUAAACUUCUUUUAUAAAGGAAUAAAGUGAGGCACGUGUGCCUUUUUGUAUGUACUUUAUGAAUAAGGAUCGGCUAACUCCGUGCCAGCAGCCGCGGUAAUACGGAGGAUCCGAGCGUUAUCCGGAUUUAUUGGGUUUAAAGGGAGCGUAGGCGGCAUAAUAAGUUAGAAGUGAAAUACCCAGAGCUUAACUCGGGUGCUGCUUCUAAGACUGUUGAGCUUGAGUGCGGGAGAGGUUAAUGGAAUUCCUAGUGUAGCGGUGGAAUGCGUAGAUAUUAGGAGGAACACCAGAGGCGAAGGCGAUUAACUGGACCGUAACUGACGCUGAGGCACGAAAGUGUGGGUAGCAAACAGGAUUAGAUACCCCUGUAGUC
rnacentral:rRNA from 1 species